AAUCGUAAACACAUCAACCUUUCGUUGACAGAUAGCGAAAAUUACUAGCCUCGCGCUAUCUUUGUUUAACACAUAGGUUAGGUUCCUCUCUGUCGAAUUCCGACCACAGGCAGUUUGCCGUACCACAGAAUAUCAUACAGUAAUGACAGCUUUUGAAAGCCCCAUAAGAAAUACACGUAACGGACCAGAACAACAAUAAUCGACCGUUGGGUAAGGACAUGACCUUGAAUUUUGGCUUGAAACUGUAGUGGCAAACCUUGUUACUAAAUAAAAUUUACCACCAUGUCAACAUUGUGCGUCAAAUUUGACAUUUUAGGUGUUUGGCAUUUAAUAUUGUAACUGUGAUUUAUUAUUUUUACUGAAUAGAAAAUGCGCGUUCGAACAAAUAAAUAGAAUAAAUAAUCUUGUGGAAACUGUACACAAGGCACAGGGGUGCCGUAUGCUGGUCUGGACACAGUUACGAGGACUGCUUUUAUAUAUCGGCCACAUGAAGGGCUGCAACAUAAAAGGUGAAUGCUUCAUGUAGCAUCUUAAGCCCGCCACUCACGUUUCAACGCCGCAGAACAAUUGUGUUGGAUAUGACCAAAUUGAAGUGUUUUUGAACGUCUGUGUAUGAGAUCAAGCAAAUCGGUUGGAUGUGGACGGUCGGUGAACAAGUCUGUCUGCAGCAGUACAAUCGUUUUGAAUUGGAUGGAAAUUUGAUCAUGUGUGGACAUGACUCGACAGUGUAUGUUAUUCAAACCGUGAGAGCAGCUAUAAAAGUACAUUUUCGUCAUUUUGUCGGACAUGUUGUCAUCACGAUCGCAAAUUUUUAACUGCAAGGUCGUAACGUGUGUGUACUGCUGCUUUUUAACAGAAUUGUACAACAGUUGCAUCCACUACAAUCGUACUGGGACGUAGGAACGUGAAUGGCCAGCUUUAGGAUUACCAAAAUGGUGGAUCAUCAUCAAAGGCGUUGAAGUGACAGAGAAGUUUAUCAUAUAUGAUGACAUUACAUGCAACGGCAAAAUAACUACAUGUUUCACAGAUUCCAAGGGAAAUUUAAAGAAGCCCCUGAAGCAGAUUUUUUCAUUGUGCCUGCAAUCACGAGGUGGUCUACCACUGUAGUCCAUGUUACUAUGAAAAGGUUCUCAGAAUCACUUCACUAAUUUAACUUACAACAAAAAUUCAACCAAAAACAUCAAAAUACUUUUCCCAAGGAAGAUCAAAACAACAGCGUUCACUUUCUGACUCUUCAAACGGUUCACACUUGGCGAAAAUUGAAGGCAUUGACAAAAUAGGUAAUUGAUAUGUUUAUGUUGAAAUUAACUCGGUAAAGUGAUAGACUUUUAUUUAUGAAUAAAAUAAAUAUAAGCACAA